rnacentral:rRNA from 1 species
GACGAACCGAGCGAACGUUGUUCGGAAUCACUGGGCUUAAAGGGCGCGUAAGCGGGCUGCCGCGUCCGGGGUGAAAUCCCACGGCUCAACCGUGGAACUGCCCCGGAUACGGGCGGCCUCGAGGGGGGUAGGGGCAUCUGGAACUGCGAGUGGAGCGGUGAAAUGCGUUGAUAUUCACAGGAACUCCGGUGGCGAAGGCGAGGUGCUGGACCCCUCCUGACGCUGAGGCGCGAAAGCCAGGGGAGCAAACGGG